rnacentral:rRNA from 1 species
CGUCGCCGCGGGAAUACGAAGGGUGCAAGCGUUAAUCGGAAUUACUGGGCGUAAAGCGUGCGUAGGCGGUGAGUUAAGUCUGCUGUGAAAUCCCCGGGCUCAACCUGGGAAUGGCAGUGGAUACUGGCUCGCUAGAGUGUGUCAGAGGAUGGUGGAAUUCCCGGUGUAGCGGUGAAAUGCGUAGAGAUCGGGAGGAACAUCAGUGGCGAAGGCGGCCAUCUGGGACAACACUGACGCUGAGGCACGAAAGCGUGGGGAGCAAACAGGAUUAGAUACCCCCGUAGUCCCUGUCUCUUAUACA